UACGUAGGUGGCAAGCGUUGUCCGGAUUUACUGGGCGUAAAGGGCGUGCAGGCGGUUUGUUAAGUGCAGAGUGAAAGCUCCCGGCUCAACUGGGAGAGGUCUUUGCAUACUGGCAAACUCGAGGGAGGCAGAGGAAAGUGGAAUUCCCGGUGUAGUGGUGAUAUGCGUAGAUAUCGGGAGGAACACCUAUGGCGAAGGCAGCUCGCUGGGACGUUACUGACGCUGAGACGCGAAAGCGUGGGGAGCAAACAGG
rnacentral:rRNA from 1 species